GUCGCCUCCUCACGGGCCACCAGCCAAGGUCGUCUUCUUUAAAAGCGGCCCGUGCGCUCCAAGGACCGCGUGUGGAACCGCCAGGCCGCAGGAACACUUCGGGCAGGUCUCUCGGGGGCCAUACGAGUUCAGAGUGUCUUGAAAUUCUGCCAGAAAUGUGGCACAGCGGCAGCGGUGUGCGUAGUACUGGAAUGUGCGAGGUGCAGCUGGCUGAUGCCCGGAUUACCCACGUCCCGAGUGUGACGCAUCUGCCGCAACUUGCUCUCUCCUGCCGUUCCUCUUCGUCGAGCGCGUGCUGUAAAAACCACCAGGUGUCAGCCAUGAUGGCAAUCAUGCCCUGACUAAGUCUUUUCAGAAUGGAGGUGCCUCUGCUGGAAACUUCUUCAGAACUGUUAGUUGCUGAAUUGCAAGUUCACAUAACCCUUUGCUUUUAACCGAAUUAUUGCUCCAAGUCCUGCAAGAUACAAACAAGAAAAAAAAAAAAAAGAAAAAAAAUCAGAAGCUGGGCACAAGAGAAGUGAUUUGACUGAAGAUGAGGAGAAGGGAAGUUGGAAAGGUUGGAAGUGUGGCCAAGACUCGACCCACCAUCUCUGGCUUUGGCGAUGAGGGAGGUCAUAGCCAGGGAAUAUGGGCAGCCUUGAGACGCUGAGAACAACUCUGGCAAACAACUGGCAAGGAAACAGAGACCUUAGUCUUAUAACCCCAAAGACCUGAAUUCUGCCAACAACCCGAACGAGCCUGGAAAUGUGUUCUCCCCUUGUGCCUCCAGAAAGGAAGCAGCCCUGCCAACACCUUCAUCCCGCCAUGUGCCAUACUUAGCAAAGAGCCCACUGAGCCACGCUACACCUGGACUCCUGACUCACAGAACUCAUGACGUAAUACAUUUGUUGUUUCAAGCUGCUGAAUUUGGGGUAAUCUGUGGCAGUGGCAUUAGAAUACAAAUGCAGUCACAGAGUUGUUCAUUUGUGACUCGGGUAAUACCCUGUUGCAUACUGUUUCCACUGGUUGCACAGGACGGCACUCAAUGCUGUGGUCUCCUAAGGGUGGAGGGUCCAUCAGCCCCAGGUGUGCACAUGUUUUCUUUCAGUAAAGAAAGAAAACUCAGCUUUUAAUCUUAAGAGUUUUGCAAAGGUUUUGUGCUAGAAUUAGUGUAUUAGUAUGGCAGAAUAUUUAUAGUUCACAUACGGUGUAUCGCUGGCUCAGUUGUACUGACAGGGUUGCAUGAUCAAAAAGACCUUGAUAGGUUGCCUGUCUUGUCGAACAGUGACCUAGUGGGCAGCAGAAGGAAGGGUCCACCAGCUCUAGUGGAAAGCUCACCGUAUUUGGAGUUGGAGCCAUCAAUAUUAUCUUCACCUAUGAAGGUAAUUAGCCCGGCGACUUUGGCUAAACCACGUACCCUCUGGCUUACAUUUCCUCAUGGAACCCGAGUGAGGCAUCCCGGAUGCUCCUUGAGCUUUCCUUGAGAAUAUGGAGAUGUUUCACUGACAUGCAUAUCAUCUCAGAACUAUCAUCUCUGAACCAUGUCUUUGUUCUGAUUGAGAGAAGAAAAGAGAAACUUAGACCAAAGAAAAAACCAAAACAAACAAAACAAAACAAAACAAAAAACCCAA